GGGCUCGUAGCUCAGCUUGGCUAGAGCGUCUGACUUUUAAUCAGAAGGUCGUGGGUUCGAAUCCCACCGAGCCCG
rnacentral:tRNA from 1 species